CUUACACAUGCAAGUCGAGGGGUAACGAUGGUGCUUGCACCAUGCGACGACCGGCGGACGGGUGAGUAACACGUAUGCAAUUUGCCUUCAACUGGAGGAUAGCUGCGGGAGACCGUAAUUAAUACUCCAUAGUAUUCAAAAGACGCAUGUAUCUUGAAUUAAAGCUCCGGCGGUUAAAGAUAAGCAUGCGGGACAUUAGCUAGUUGGUAAGGUAACGGCUUACCAAUGCGACGAUGUCUAGGGGGUUUGAGAGGAUGAUCCCCCACACUGGUACUGAGACACGGACCAGACUCCUACGGGAGGCAGCAGUGAGGAAUAUUGGGCAAUGGGCGCAAGCCUGACCCAGCCAUGCCGCGUGCAGGAUGAAUGUCCUAUGGAUCGUAAACUGCUUUUGUAUGGGAAGAACUUCCCGCAUUCGUGCGGGAUUGACGGUACUAUACGAAUAAGGACCGGCUAACUCCGUGCCAGCAGCCGCGGUAAUACGAGAUGUGCAAGCGUUGUUCGGAAUCACUGGGCAUAAAGGGUGCGCAGGCGGCUUAGUAAGUCAGGGGUGAAAUCCCUCGGCUCAACCGGGGAAUUGCUUUUGAUACUGCUAAGCUUGAGAGCGAAAGGGGCAAGUGGAAUUCCAGGUGUAGCGGUGGAAUGCGUAGAUAUCUGGGAGAACGCCGAUGGCGAAGGCAGCUUGCUGGGUCGCUUCUGACGCUCAGGCACGAAAGCUAGGGGAGCAAACAGGAUUAGAUACCCUGGUAGUCCUAGCUGUAAACGUUGGGUACUAGGUUCCGGGAUUUCUGAUGAUUUCGGGGCCGCAGUUAAUGCAUUAAGUACCCCGCCUGGGGAGUAUGGUCGCAAGGCUAAAACUCAAAGGAAUUGACGGGGGCUCACACAAGCGGUGGAGCAUGUUGUUCAAUUCGAAGCAACGCGAAGAACCUUACCUGGCCUUGACAUGCUAGAAGUACGAACCUGAAAGGGGGAGGACCGGUAUCCAGUCCGGAACUAGCACAGGUGCUGCAUGGCUGUCGUCAGCUCGUGUCGUGAGACGUUGGGUUAAGUCCCGUAACGAGCGAAACCCUUGUCGUCUGUUGCUACCAGGUAAUGCUGGGCACUCUGGCGAGACUGCCGGUGUUAAACCGGAGGAAGGUGGGGACGACGUCAAGUCAUCAUGGUCCUUACGGCCAGGGCUACAAACGUGCUACAAUGGCAGGUACAGAGAGAAGCGAUACCGCGAGGUGGAGCAAAUCUUCAAAACCUGCCCCAGUUCGGAUUGGAGGCUGCAAUUCGCCUCCAUGAAGUUGGAAUCGCUAGUAAUCGCGGAUCAGCAACGCCGCGGUGAAUACGUUCCUGAGCAUUGUACACACCGCCCGUCAAGCCACCCAAGCUGGAAGCACCCGAAGUCCGGCGCCAAUAGUCCGGCCGAAGGUGAGUCUGGUGAGGGGACUAAGUCGU
rnacentral:rRNA from 1 species